rnacentral:rRNA from 1 species
GACGAAGGGGGGCUAGCGUUGCUCGGAAUUACUGGGCGUAAAGGGCGUGUAGGCGGUUUCGUAUGUCUGGCGUGAAAGCCCCGGGCUCACCUCGGGAAGUGCGUCGGAAACUGCGAGACUAGAGUCCCGGAGAGGGAGGUGGAAUUCCAGGUGUAGCGGUGAAAUGCGUAGAUAUCUGGAAGAACACCGGUGGCGAAAGCGGCCUACCUGGACGGGUGACCU